rnacentral:rRNA from 1 species
GGCCUUUUGAAAAUAAUUUAAGGUCGGGCCUGCCCAAUGAUUAAUUUAAUGGCCGCGGUAUAUUAACUGUGCAAAGGUAGCAUAAUCAUUAGUUUUUUAAUUGAAAGCUGGAAUGAAGGGUUUAAUGAAAAAAGUUCUGUCUUACUUAAGUUUAUAAGAAAUUUAUUUUUAAGUUAAAAAGCUUAAAUAAUUAUUAAAGACGAGAAGACCCUAUAGAGUUUUAUAUCUGUUAGGUCUAUUUUAUUUAGAAUUUUAAAAUUAUAUUUUAUAGGUAUUUUGUUGGGGUGACAGAAAAAUUUAAUAAACUUUUUUUUUACUAAACAUUAAUAUAUGAAUAUUUGAUCCUUUUUGAAGAUUAAAAGAUAAAAUUACCUUAGGGAUAACAGCGUAAUUUUUUUUAGAGUUCUUAUCGAAAAAAAAGAUUGCGACCUCGAUGUUGGAUUAAAAUUAAUUUCUGGCGCAAAAGCUAGGGAGAUUAGGUCUGUUCGACCUUUAAAUUUUUACAUGAUCUGAGUUUAGACCGGUUUGAG